AGCGAACGCUGGCGGCAGGCCUAACACAUGCAGGUCGAACGCCCCUUCGGGGGAGUGGCGGCCGGGUGAGUAACGCGUGGGAAUGUGCCCUUUGGUACGGAACAACUGAGGGAAACUUCAGCUAAUACCGUAUGUGCCCUACGGGGGAAAGAUUUAUCGCCAUUGGAGCAGCCCGCGUUGGAUUAGGUAGUUGGUGGGGUAAUGGCCCACCAAGCCGACGAUCCAUAGCUGGUCUGAGAGGAUGAUCAGCCACACUGGGACUGAGACACGGCCCAGACUCCUACGGGAGGCAGCAGUGGGGAAUCUUGCGCAAUGGGCGAAAGCCUGACGCAGCCAUGCCGCGUGAAUGAUGAAGGUCUUAGGAUUGUAAAAUUCUUUCACCGGGGAAGAUAAUGACGGUACCCGGAGAAGAAGCCCCGGCUAACUUCGUG
rnacentral:rRNA from 1 species